rnacentral:rRNA from 1 species
AGCAGUCGCCGCGGUAAAACGUAGGUGGCAAGCGUUGUCCGGAAUUAUUGGGCGUAAAGGGCUCGCAGGCGGUUUCUUAAGUCUGAUGUGAAAGCCCCCGGCUCAACCGGGGAGGGUCAUUGGAAACUGGGAAACUUGAGUGCAGAAGAGGAGAGUGGAAUUCCACGUGUAGCGGUGAAAUGCGUAGAGAUGUGGAGGAACACCAGUGGCGAAGGCGACUCUCUGGUCUGUAACUGACGCUGAGGAGCGAAAGCGUGGGGAGCGAACAGGAUUAGAUACCCCUGUAGUCCCUGUCUCUUAUAC